GAUGAAGAACGUAGCGAAAUGCGAUAAGUAAUGUGAAUUGCAGAAUCUAGUGAAUCAUCGAGUCUUUGAACGCACAUUGCGCCCCCUGGUAUUCCGGGGGGCAUGCCUGUCCGAGCGUCAUUGCUGCCCUCAAGCACGGCUUGUGUGUUGGGCCUCCGUCCUCCUCCCGGGGGACGGGCCCGAAAGGCAGCGGCGGCACCGCGUCCGGUCCUCGAGCGUAUGGGGCUUCGUCACCCGCUCUUGUAGGCCCGGCCGGCGCUUGCCGACACAUCAAUCUUUUUUCCAGGUUGACCUCGGAUCAGGUAGGGAUACCCGCUGAACUUAAGCAUAUCAAUAAGCGGAGGA
rnacentral:misc_RNA from 1 species